AACAUGAUCCUUUAUAAACUUAAAACAUAGGCCGACAAGGCUGUACAAUCUUUCACGUACACGACAUAUGUCUACAAGCCUCUAAGAAUACAUAAAUGUCAUAAAGUUUGGGAUAGAGUCCCGCCAUACCAAACAAUACACGUCUAAAUCAUACUAACCAAACAUGCAACUCCGAAGCAAAUGGAAAGCACCAACAUCUUCCGCUGAGCUGAUAGCCUAUUUGGAGGGCUCUCGACCUGUCUAUCGGGACCUGCGGGCAUGAAACGCAGCGUCCCUAGGCAAAAGAGAUGUCAGUACGAAUAAUGUACCGAGUAUGUAAGGCACAUAAAUAAGUACAUAAGAGACAUGGAAGAAAUAUAGAGUACAUAACUCAACCUGUAAGUUCGAAUAACCUUGUAAAUCAUAAAUUACUUUUAGCGUCAUGCAUAUACAUAUGAUUGUCAUGUCGUGCAUAGGUACAUGUUUCAUAACAUUAUUAGCCUCUGAGGGCAUCCCCUCAAAUCAUAUCGGCCACUGUGAGCAAAAUCAUCAUCGUAUACUAGCUUAUCAGGUGGUGGUGCGUACAUAACGCCAUAACCUUUCCCAUAUCCAUAUACAUAUAUAUACAUACAUAUAUAUGCAUAUAUAACACUGUUUGAGUACAUACAUAUAUAUGCUUAUAUAAUGCCGUUUGAAUCAUAUUUCAGCCAAUGUGGGCAACAUCAUCAUCAUAUACAAGCUGAUUAGGUGAUAGUGCGUAUAUAACGCCGUAACCUUUUCCCAUAUACAUAUAUUUACAUAUAUACGCGUAUAUAACUCCAUCUAGUCAUGGGUCAAUGCACAUGAAUGCAAUGCAUGAAAAGUACGUCAAUAAAAUCAUUCGGAAUGUCAUAAGACCAUUUUGCCUCUUGAGCAAUAUCAUAAAGUAAUAUCUUUUCAACUUUCGUAUUUUUCUGAGAUCCAUGAACAGAUGAUAAAAUAUUAUGAUACAUGUAAAUUAAAGAACAUGGAUAUUUCUAUUACUUCUAUGAGUAGAGACACUUUGGAAUUUGUGCGUUUGCAAGUUUCGUUCAUAUCGUAUGGAUCAUGCCAAAAGAAAGAAGGGAUAGCCUUAACAUACCUGAAGUAAGAAAAAAUAUUCGUAUGAUAUUCUAGUACCUCCAGCACCUGGGUCAUUUAUCUCAAAUACCAAAAGCUUCUUCUUUGCUCUUAAUUUUCCUACAUCUUUACGCCAGAACAAAAAAAUCAAAUUGCCUUCAGUGAUUGAACAAUGAAAUCUCAGCAUCUCCAUCGAGGUACUCGACUAAGAGACCUCAGAGAAAUUGACACACAAAAAGUAAGCAUAGUUCAAUCCUAAAGUUAACCUCCUCAUGACACCAACUUCAACUAUCAAAUUUACUCAUCUUCCAAUUACAGAGUGAUUUCCUUUGAGUCACUGCCACUAACUAACUAAAAGGUAAAGGUUGUCCACUCAAGCACACAUAACCCAAGUAUCACAUAAGUUAGCGCUCCACCUAAAUACAAGAUUGAUGUACAGAAUUGGCCUCCUCUCCUAAAGAUGAAAUGUG
rnacentral:lncRNA from 1 species